rnacentral:rRNA from 1 species
AGAGUUUGAUCCUGGCUCAGGAUAAACGCUGGCGGCGCACAUAAGACAUGCAAGUCGAACGAACUUAAUUGAGAGCUUGCUCUCAAAGCGGUUAGUGGCGGACUGGUGAGUAACACGUAAGCAACCUGCCUAUUAGAGGGGAAUAACAGCGAGAAAUCGUUGCUAAUACCGCAUAUGCUGUGAGUAUCGCAUGAUACAAGCAGGAAAGGAGCAAUCCACUAAUAGAUGGGCUUGCGUCUGAUUAGUUAGUUGGUGGGGUAACGGCCUACCAAGACGAUGAUCAGUAGCCGGACUGAGAGGUUGAACGGCCACAUUGGGACUGAGAUACGGCCCAGACUCCUACGGGAGGCAGCAGUCGGGAAUAUUGCGCAAUGGAGGAAACUCUGACGCAGUGACGCCGCGUGCAGGAAGAAGGUUUUCGGAUUGUAAACUGCUUUUAACAGGAAAGAAAAAAAUGACGGUACCUGUUGAAUAAGCUCCGGCUAACUACGUGCCAGCAGCCGCGGUAAUACGUAGGGAGCGAGCGUUAUCCGGAUUUAUUGGGUGUAAAGGGUGCGUAGACGGAAAUGCAAGUUAGUUGUGAAAUACCUCGGCUUAACUGAGGAACUGCAACUAAAACUAUAUUUCUUGAGUAUCGGAGGGGUUUGUGGAAUUCCUAGUGUAGCGGUGAAAUGCGUAGAUAUUAGGAAGAACACCGGUGGCGAAGGCGACAAACUGGACGAUAACUGACGUUGAGGCACGAAAGUGUGGGGAGCAAACAGGAUUAGAUACCCUGGUAGUCCACACC